GCAGCAGCUGCUGCCACUGCUCAGCGCGGUGAGGAGGGAGCCGGUGACUCGGAGACGGUGACUCAGAGGCAGAGCGGCGCGAGGGCCAAGGAGUACUGGCGUCCAUGGACCCUGGGGACCCCGUCAGGAGCAGGUGACAUCCUUCCCCUUCCACCCUGCUCCCUGCUCUACAUCCCCAGCAGGGAGUGGCCUCUCCCUUCUCCAUGGACUUCCAAGAGAGGGACCCGCCCUUCCUGCCUGAGAGCGCUCAGUCCUCAAAGCCCAGCAGUGCUCAGCAGGCCUCUGAGCUGUGGGAGGUGGUGGAGGAGCCUCGGGGCAGGCUGGGGACAGAGGGUGUCAUGCCUGAGAGGCAGGAAGGUCACCUGCUCAAGAAGAGGAAGUGGCCUCUGAAGGGCUGGCACAAGAGAUACUUUGUGCUCGAGGACGGGAUCCUUCAUUAUGCAACAACCCGGCAAGACGUGAGUCCGGGCAGUGGCUUGGGGUUGUGGGAGGAGUCUGGCCCCAGUAUGCCCUGGGCAGGCAUGGGGUAUCUGGAAUCGACCAGAGCAGGGUCUGAAUCCCAGGUCCACCACUUGCCGAAUGUGUGAUCUCAGGCAAGUUACAUCCCUGGGCCAUAGCUUCCUCACCUCUAAUGGGAGAGCACCAUCCCCCAGGUGCAGAGCUGUCAUGGUAAGGGAGGUCAUACGCACAAGGCUCUCUGGACAGGGCAGAAUAAGUGCCCAAGAAAUGGGGGCUUUACCACCCUCAUCCUGGUCCCAUUCUCAGGCUGGGAACAAGGAACUGAAGGCCUGGGUACCCAGGAUCUCUCUGGGAGGGUGUUGCCUUCCACAACCCUGCAGACCCCUGAGGGUGGG
rnacentral:sRNA from 1 species